CCGCGACACCUUCUUCUUCUCCGGACUUUCAUCUUCUCACGACAAUAUUUCCGGCCAGUUUAACUUGUACAUUUCAGGAACUGUAUCGAUAGUGAAAAGACUCCGUAAUGGUGACUUUUGCUCCCCUUUCUCCUCAAAUAACGUUUCUUUCCACUCUAUUGUCUACCACCCCUUGUGAAGCAUUGUUGAUUUGUGUGACAUUUAAUUUAUGGUAUGUUUUAUUCUUAUUAUAUAUUCUUUUAUGUAGCCUUUAACCCAGCGGGCACCUUGAUAUCGAUUUUACGUCAAAUAUUAGUCAAGACUUGAUCAACAUGCUGUAUAACAUCAUUUUAAAUUCAGUUUGGACGGCAAUUUCUUCCAGUGGUAAUUGGGUGAAAAUAGGAAGUUAAUCCCACACUGAAAUUGGUUUAAUGUAUAUGUAGGCCAAUAUGUUUGACGUUCAAUUUACUUCAAAUCAAUAUGUGAUUUUAGACGUCAAAUUGACAUCAAUGAUUAGUAUGUUGAAUUGGGAUUUAUAUAUAUUUAUGGCGUAAUAUAUAUGUAUUAACAACUUUACCAUACAUUAUUACAUCUUUAUUCAUACACUUCAAGGAAAACACAAUUUGAUAAAUAAAUUAAAUACAACAGCCAACAAAUAAAUGUAAUUACACGCAUUUAUUUUCUUUUAAAACAAAUCGUCUUUCCCUAUAGUUGCUAUGUUACCACGUUGAAACAAUUACUAUUGGCUGUCUCGUCGUGUUGCUUUGAGAAUGAUUGGUUAAUCUGACUGUCAUUCAGGAAACUAGCCAAUGAGAACUGUUCGCGCCUCUCACCGGUCAUGUUUGAAAACACGUCUGUUUGAGUGGGCGUGCUGAUCCGCACUGCUACUCGCCACGGUCCUCUAGUAGUGGCUGUUAUCUGCAUUAUUUUACGUCUUCCUGCUAAAUGCUUAUUUUGAGCGAAUUUGAGUUGUUGGAUGUCAACCGAGAACAAAAACAUGGAAUAUGGUCACAGAGGAAGACAUAGACAGGAGCUGUUUGGUCACGCCAGAAUAAAAAUGGGGAAAGCAGAGGAGACGUUUGAAAGUUGUAAAAUCUGCCGGAGUAUAAUUAUGCCCAUUAAGAGUUUCACCAGCAGGUAACGGACAUAUCGCAACCUGCAGAAGCAAAUGACCACAGCAGUGCAUCACCUGUGAGAUCAUGAGAAGGCUGAAGAACCAGGAGUGACAAUCACCAGAUGGUGGGGAACAGAAUUAAACCCAGGGACAGAUCAAGCAUUGGAACAAGGUUUACGGGGGAGAACAGACACCCAACAGAGAGACAAGUCCAUCACUAGUAUGUAUCAACUGUAGUACUAUGUAAAAUAAGAUAUUAGUCAUCAUCAUCAUCAAUCCUUUAUUUAAUAUUCAGGAGAACAUUAAGGGAAAGACCCUCAUGACCCUCAGACAUGUUAUAACAGGGUAAAUGCAGCUACAGUUUGGUGGUUGGUUUGAUUUUGGUGUACCAAUUGUCAAUAUUUUUUUAACUACAACUGUGUUUACCUUGCUAUGAUACAUAUGUGAAAAGUGUCCAUUGUUGUGAAUCCAUGUCUUCCUUCUUUUGGUGGUUCACAUUUUUCUGACAGGGGUGCUAAGACAUGCAUUAGGUGCAUAGUUAAAUUGGCAAACAUUUAAUAACUAACACUCUCAAAGGUGACAGUACUCUAUAUUCACAUUGCCAGAUUGUCUCAUAAUGGCAAAUGUUAUUUGUAUUUUUUUUGUGUUAUGUUUUGAUUUGACUUAAUACACUGUAUAGUUAGGAUUCUGAAUUAAAAGACAGUGUAAUGUUUGUCUACAUAUAUUAGAAAUAUACGGAGCCCCCAGUGGUCAGGAGAAUUUUGUGGAAAAAAACACAAAACUGAAUUGGAAAAUACAAGCUAAAAAACAACAGACCACAACCCCCUCAGCUCAACAGCACAAUUUGUUGCUUUCUCCACCUGUUUCAAAGGUGAAAUCAUGACCUCAUGAUAGUAACCCUAAUAGACAAGAUAGACACAGAGAAAUGAAAUUUUUAGAUUUCAGUUCCUCCUGGGGGGCUCAGAAGAACAGUUUGUGAAUAAUUGGUUGAUAUUGUAAAUCUGAAUACAUUAAAAAAAGUGUUUUGGAAUCAAUAGUGGUGUGUACUUUGUAAUUAAGUUUCCAACUUUAAUUGUAGAUGUAUCAGUUUAUUUUGUAUUUCUUCAGUAUGUUUUCAGUUGCCGAUAUUUCACAGUAAUCUUAAAGCUUAUAUUUUAUGAGAAUUUGAAGAAACCUUUCUACUGUUAAUCAGUACAGUAAAUUAAAUAUUAAAUGUUGUAUUUCAUUUAAGGUUUGUACAAUUAAAUGUUGUAUUCAGAUUUUACUUUUACAGGUUUUAAUCUAAACACAAACACUGCCAGUCAAGUUUGAGAUGAUUUUAAAAUGUUUUAUACAGUAUUUUUAGAGACUUUUUAUUUUGUCUUCCAAAAUAAAACGGGUAUUUUACAAUCUUUAGCAUGUGUUAACCCUUAAUUGAAGGUGUUUGAUCAUAAUAAUUCAGGAAAUACCUGUAAAAUAACGGUGUUUCUCUGUAAAACCUUUAAUUAAAAUUUAUGUAAAUUUUUUGUUUUUGCACUUUAUUUGAAUAAGGAUAUUUUACUUUAAUUUUACGGUUUUUGUUUGGCAGUCGUUGCUGCCAGUCAUUUGACCGUUUUUUUUUUGUUUUUGUUUUUGUUUUUUUUUAACAGUGUAGUCCCUUCAGGGUAUACAGAAUCCAGUUUACAUUUGUAUUUU